ensembl:lncRNA
AGAGAAGGUGUAGGAGGUUCAGGCAGUGGGAAAGGGGCCCAGUGUCCAGAGCCAGGAAAGUGGGAUUUCACCUGGCUGGGUAGAUAGCAAGGUGAGGGAGGAAGUGGCGAUGGGGCCCUGGACCCUGGAGAGGCCAAGUCACGGGGAGUCUUGUGUGCAGAAUUACAGACCCUGGAUUGUACUGGAUUGUUACCGGAAUCAUGGAAGGGAGUCUAAACAGGUUAGAGUGUGCAGCAUGCAAACCACAAGUUGGGAAGGGUCCCACGUGAGGAGGUCCCAGGAAAUCUUGAGACCACUAGAGAAGAGAAAGCCAUCUGGUGUGACUGGACUGGGAGUCAGAAAUAGAAAAGUUCAUCCUGAAAUUCAUAUGGACUCUCAAGGGAACUGAAUAGCCAAAAAGAAGAACAAAGUUGAAGGGUCUGCACUUCUGGAUUUGAAAAUAUUACAAAGUUAGAGUAAUCAGAUCAGUGUGGUAGCAGCAUAAAGACAGACAUAGAGACAAAUGAAAUAGAAGAGAGAACUCAGAAAUAAACUCUCUCACAUACGCACAAAAAUCUCAAAUGAGUUUCAAUAAGGAUGCCAAGAACACUCAACAAGGAAAGAACAAUUUUUUCACCUGGAUCACCACAAGCGAAAGAAUGAAGUUGGACCCUUGCCUAACGCCAUAUACAAAAACUAACUCACGCUAGAUCAAAGACGUAAACACAAAAGGUAAAACAAUAAAACUUUUUGAGGAAUGUGGGGCAAAACUUUGCAUCAUUGGAUUUGGUGACAGUUUCUUGAAUGUGACGUCAAAGGCACAGGCAGCAAAAGAAAAGAAUAGUCAAAUUUGACUUGAUGAAAAUUUAAAUUUCAUGCAUCAAAACGCACUGUGGACAGAAUGAAAAAGCAAUCCACAGGAUGGAUUUGCAAUAUAUUUGCAAAUCAUAUAUCUGAUAUAUGAUUAAUAUCCAGAUUAUAUAGAGAAUUCCUAAAACUUGAAGAAAAAAAAAAAGCCAACAAAAUAACAACUGUUGGCAAGCAUAUGGAGAAACUGGAACUUCUAUGACCUGUUGGUGGGAAUGGAAAAUGGCACAGCUACUGGGGAAAACAGUGUGGGAGUAAGAAAUUUUAAAUCGAGCUACCAUAAGACCCAAUAAUGCCACUUCUGGGUAUAUACCCCAAAGAGUUGAAAGCAGGGUUUUGAACAGAUAUUUGCACACCUAUGUUCACUGUACUAUUCACAAUAGUCAAGAGAUGGAAUGCAAUUGUCCACCUAUGAAUGAAUGGACAAGCAAAAUGUGGUAUAAACGUAAAAUGAAAUAUUAUUCAGCCUUAACAAAGAGGAAAAUUUUGACACAUGCUAUCAUAUGGAUGAGCCUUGAGGACAUGUGCUACAUUGAAAUAAUCCAGCCAUGAAAAGACAAAUACUGUAUGAUUCCACUUAUAUGAAAUACAUAGAAUAGUCAAAUUCAAUGAUAAAUUUGAAAGUAGAAUGAUAGCUCCCAAGGGCAGGAAGAGGAGGAAAAGGGGUGUUGUCCUUUAAUGAUUAUAGUUUCAGAUUUUCAGGUGAAAAGGUUCUGAAUAUAUGUUUCACACUAAUAUAGAUUUAUUUAAAAUGACUGAGCUAUACCCCAUGAUUAAGGUGGUAUAUUGAUGCUUUUGAACUGUGGUGUUGGAGAAGACCCCUGAGAGUCCCUUGGACUGCAAGGAGAUCAAACCAGUUAACCCUAAAGGAAGUCAGUCCUGAAUGUUUAUUGGAAGGACUGAUGCUGAAGCUGAAACUCCAAUACUUUGGCCACCUGAUGCAAAGAACUGACCUGAUGCUGGGAAAGCUUGAGGGCAGAAGGAGAAGGGGCAAUAGUGGAUGAGAUGGUUGGAUGGCAUCACAGACUCGAUGGACAUGAGUUUGAGCAAACUCCGGGAGUUGAUGAUGGACAAGGGAAGCCUGGCAUGCUGCAGUCCACGUGGUCGCAAAGAGUCAGAUAAGAUGAGCAACUGAAAUGAACUGAAUUGAAGGUGGUAUAUUUUACAUUGUGUGGUAUUUUUCCCACAAUAAAAAAUUAUGUAGCAGAGAAAAAUCAACAAAUGUCAAUGAUAAGCAAGAAACAGGGAGAAACGUUUACAUCAUAUGUAACAGAAAAAAAAUGCUUAAAAUAUCUAAUAUGAAGAGUUCCUCCCAAAGUCAGUGCUCUGUGACAGCCUAGAAGGGUGG